rnacentral:rRNA from 1 species
AAAACGACUCUCGGCAACGGAUAUCUCGGCUCUCGCAUCGAUGAAGAACGUAGCGAAAUGCGAUACUUGGUGUGAAUUGCAGAAUCCCGUGAAUCAUCGAGUCUUUGAACGCAAGUUGCGCCCCAAGCCGUUAGGCCGAGGGCACGCCUGCCUGGGUGUCACGC